ACUUUCUGUCUCAUAAUUCCUCCCUUUUCAUUUCUAGCAAGGAAAAAGGUUAGAAAUGCAGUACUUAAACGAGAAUGCAGCAGAAAACAAACAACAACAGCUAAAUUUCC
rnacentral:ribozyme from 1 species